UUCUCUCCUCAGCCCUUUGGCUAAGAUCAAGUGGAAUAUCAGUUCUUAUCAGUUUAAUAUCUGAUAAGUGCUUUCUCUGAGGUUAAUAUAUUAAAAGGAUUUUUGGAAAUAGAAGAUGGAAGAGGAACUUUUUCCAUUCACUAUACGCAUCACCCUAUAUUGCAGAACUUCGAGGAACUACAUACCACCU